UCAGUAAAUAUUAUCGCUGCAAUAGCGUUAAUCACUGAUACAGAUGAACUUAACAGGAACAUCACAGUAGCUGAUCCGGAUUAUUUCAGGUCUACAGGUGUUUUUCCAACUGUAAAACCGUCACCUUGGCCAGCGUUACAAUCCA